UUCAGGUACUGGAGGUCCGAACCCACUAAUUUUGAAAAAUUAGGGGAUGAGCUGUGGAUAGGGGUGAAAGGCUAAACAAAUCCGGAAAUAGCUGGUUCUCCCCGAAAACUAUUUAGGUAGUGCGUCAUGUAUCACUUGCGGGGGUAAAGCACUGUUAUGGCUAGGGGGUCAUCGCGACUUACCAAACCAUGGCAAACUCUGAAUACCGCAAAGUGCGAGCAUGGCAGACAGACAGUGGGUGCUAACGUCCAUUGUCAAGAGGGAAACAACCCAGACCGCCAGCUAAGGUCCCCAAGACACAGUUAAGUGGGAAACGAAGUGGGAAGGCAUAGACAGCUAGGAGGUUGGCUUAGAAGCAGCCAUCCUUUAAAGAAAGCGUAAUAGCUCACUAGUCGAGUCGUCCUGCGCGGAAGAUGUAACGGGGCUCAAACUGUGCACCGAAGCUGCGGAUAUCGAAAGAUAUGGUAGGGGAGCGUUCUGUAGGUCUGUGAAGGUGUCUUGUAAAGGAUGCUGGAGAUAUCAGAAGUGCGAAUGCUGACAUGAGUAGCGAUAAAGGGCGUGAAAAGCGCCCUCGCCGAAAGCCCAAGGUUUCCUACGCAACGUUCAUCGGCGUAGGGUGAGUCGGCUCCUAAGGCGAGGCAGAAAUGCGUAGUCGAUGGGAAACAGGUCAAUAUUCCUGUACCGAUUCUAGAUGCGAUGUGGGGACGGAGAAGGUUAGGUCAGCCGGGUGUUGGACGUCCCGGUUUAAGCGUGUAGGCGUGCCCCUUAGGCAAAUCCGGGGGGCUGAGCUGAGGCGUGAUGAUGAGGAACCACGGUUCCGAAGUGAUUGAUACCAAGCUUCCAGGAAAAGCCACUAAGCUUCAGUCUAGAGUUGACCGUACCGCAAACCGACACAGGUGGGCAGGAUGAAAAUUCUAAGGCGCUUGAGAGAACUCAGGAGAAGGAACUCGGCAAAUUAACACCGUAACUUCGGGAGAAGGUGUGCCCCGGUAGCGUGUAGAGACUUGCUCUCGAAGCGCGAUGGGGUUGCAGUGAAAUGGUGGCUGCGACUGUUUAAUAAAAACACAGCACUCUGCAAACACGAAAGUGGACGUAUAGGGUGUGACGCCUGCCCGGUGCCGGAAGGUUAAGUGAUGGGGUGCAAGCUCUUGAUCGAAGCCCCGGUAAACGGCGGCCGUAACGAUAACGGUCCUAAGGUAGCGAAAUUCCUUGUCGGGUAAGUUCCGACCUGCACGAAUGGCGUAACGAUGGCCACACUGUCUCCUCCUGGGACUCAGCGAAGUUGAAAUGUUUGUGAAGAUGCAAUCUACCCGCGGCUAGACGGAAAGACCCCAUGAACCUUUACUGUAGCUUUGCAUUGGACUUUGAACCGGUUGG
rnacentral:rRNA from 1 species